AAUUUACAUGAGGAGUGUCACUACCUCUUAGCCCCUACUUUGCAGACAUGGAGACCAGCAGAAUCAACUAGAGAGGGAAAAGUUCAAGGACAGAAAGAAUACAGAGGAAGAGGAGUGUUAAUGAAUUAUUGAAUCAUGUAUCCCUUUUCUGCUAGGAACAAUGGGCUCGGAUGGCCGUAGCAAAUCACGUGGUUUAAAACAACGGAAACAUAUUGUCUCACAGUUCUGGAGGCUGAAAUCCAACAUCAAGGUCUCGGGCAGGGUCAGGCCCCCUCUGUCCCUGUAGGGGAGCAUUCUUCCUCACCUCCUGCUUGGUUCUGCGUUGUUGCCAGCAGCCCUUGGCGCUCCUCAGCCUGCAGCUGCAGCAUUUCAAUCUCUCCCUCCAGCCGUCACAGAGUGUUCCCCUCUCGUGUGUCCAUCCCAGAAUCUCUCUUCCU
ensembl:lncRNA